rnacentral:rRNA from 1 species
AUUGAACGCUGGCGGCAGGCCUAACACAUGCAAGUCGAGCGGAUGAGUGGAGCUUGCUCCAUGAUUCAGCGGCGGACGGGUGAGUAAUGCCUAGGAAUCUGCCUGGUUGUGGGGGACAACGUUGCGAAAGGAACGCUAAUACCGCAUACGUCCUACGGGAGAAAGCAGGGGACCUUCGGGCCUUGCGCUAUCAGAUGAGCCUAGGUCGGAUUAGCUAGUAGGUGAGGUAAAGGCUCACCUAGGCGACGAUCCGUAACUGGUCUGAGAGGAUGAUCAGUCACACUGGAACUGAGACACGGUCCAGACUCCUACGGGAGGCAGCAGUGGGGAAUAUUGGACAAUGGGCGAAAGCCUGAUCCAGCCAUGCCGCGUGUGUAAAGAAGGUCUUCGGAUUGUAAAGCACUUUAAGUUGGGAGGAAGGGCAGUAAGUUAAUACCUUGCUGUUUUGACGUUACCAACAGAAUAAGCACCGGCUAACUUCGUGCCAGCCGCCGCGGUAA